rnacentral:lncRNA from 1 species
GCAAUAUAAGAUAAAGACUUUAAACUUAAAAUGUAUCUUUAUCACCAUCAUCUGCAUGUGUGAUAACAAUCCCCAUAACUCUGAUUUGUAUUUUUGACCAAAUUAUGUCCCUUUCAUACUUAAAUUCUUUUAAUAAACUGUUUUUUGGACAUACCUUUGGUACUAUAUAAGAUAAUGACUUGAAACUCAAAAUAUAUCUUUGCCAUCAUCACCUGCAUUUGUUGUAACAAUACUAAUGUCUCUGAUUUGUGUAUUUGAUAGAAUCCCCCUUGGUGUAUCUUUCUUUUAUAGUAGAAGUCUCUUAUUCAGACAUAUAUUCAUUUUACUGUCAAUCCCCUAAUAGUGGAGCGCGCUGUCAUACGGACAGCUCUUGUUGAUAAUGGUGUUUCAGGUUUAGAUUUCUAUAGCAUAAAGUAAACAGACAAACCUGUAUAUAAAGGCCUUGCUUGCAAAAGUCAGAUAAUAGCCUUUGUGUUUGGAUGGCUUUCAUUCACAAUCAAAAUAAAUAGAAAUAUUAAAUUUGGAAACGAAAUAAACAGAAUUCUAUAUAGUCAGUUGAGCUCUAGUCACGGGGUAUCAUUGGCAAAGGUUUGACUGUACAUAAUUAUUUCAUUUAAGAUGAGCUAUUCAUAUUUUUAGUUUUUGUGAUCGGGGUCUGUCGUCCGUCUGUCAUUAGCCAGGAACCAUAAUGUUGCCUAUACAUCUUUCGUUUAAUAGCAUACAAAGCAUAAAGUUUGUAUUUGAAAACAUAAACAGUUACUAGAUAUAGUAAUCAACAAGUUUAUAUACUCUGUAUUAGGUUAAAAAUUGCUAUGUGAUUUUAUGAACCAUGGUUUUGUCUAUGGAGAUUUUGUGAUUAUCAUAUGCUUAUAUUUAUCUUGUUAUCAACUGUUUAUGAUAUGUUCAAUGUAUUAGCUUACCAAAAUAUGUGCAAAGCAUAUUUUACUGAUUGUUAACUUUAGUGUAUAGUACCAUUGAGAAUGUGUUGAAUUAAAACGUAACAGUAAAAGUCAUA